rnacentral:ncRNA from 2 species
GAUAAAAACAAUAAAAUAACUUGUAUAGGCUUGAUAAUAAGGUUCAAGCGUUUCUACGGGACAGCCAUUAACUGUCCGACUACAGGUUGGUAUAUAAAAGAU